AUGAGGCUGUUGGGUCUUCUCCUUUGUCUUGUGACGGCUUACCAGGGAGUCCUGUCCCAGGUGCAGCUGCAGGAGUCGGGCCCAGGACUGGUGAAGCCCUCACAGACCCUCUCCCUCACCUGCACUGUCACUGGUUACUCCAUCACCAGUGGUUACUACUGGAGCUGGAUCCGUCAGCCCCCAGGAAAGAGGCUGGAGUGGAUGGGCUCCAUAUAUUAUAGUGGUAGCAUUUACUACAGCCCAUCCCUCAAGAGCCGCAUCACCAUCUCCACAGACACGUCCCAGAACCAGUUCUCCCUGCAGCUGAGCUCCGUGACCACCGAGGACACAGCUGUGUAUUACUGUGCCAGAGACACAGUGCAGCUGCAGAAGUUGAGCCCAGGAUUGGUGAAGACCUCACAGACCAUCUCAUUCAACUGUCCUGUCUAUGGAUUCUCCAUCACCAUUGGUUAUGAAUGGAUGAGGAUUUGUGUCCAGUGUGAGGUGCAGCUGGUGGAGUCUGGGGGAGCCUCUGGAUUCAACUCCAGUAUCUCCUUGGUAUACUGGAUGCACCAGGAUGCAGGGAAGGGACUGCGCUGGGUUGGAUGA